rnacentral:rRNA from 1 species
GAUGAACGCUGGCGGCGUGCCUAAUACAUGCAAGUCGAGCGGAGAGGGGACGGGUGAGUAACACGUGGAUAACCUCCUAUAAGACGGGGAUAACUUAGGGAAAACGGAGCUUAACCCGCUUCUGAUCGAUGGAUCCGUGUUGUAUUAGCUAGUUGGUAAGGUAACGGCUCACCAAGGCAACGAGGCCUAGCUGAUCUGAGAGGGUGAUCGGCCACACUGGAACUGAGACACGGCCCAGACUCCUACGGGAGGCAGCAGUAGGGAAUCUUCCGCAAUGGGCGAAAGCCUGACGCAGCAACGCCGCGUGAGUGAUGAAGGUUUUCGGAUCGUAAAACUCUGUUAUUAGGGAAGCGGUACCUAACCAGAAAGCCACGGCUAACUACGUGCCAGCAGCCGCGGUAAUAC